rnacentral:rRNA from 1 species
GGGUCAGUAGGUUGGUCGUGCCACCGGUACGUACUGGUCUCACUGAUUCCUCCUUCCUGAAGAACCGUAAUGCCAUUUAUUUGGUGUUGCGGGGAAACAGGACUGUUACUUUGAAAAAAUUAGAGUGUUUAAAGCAAGCUAACGCUUGAAUACAUUAGCAUGGAAUAUUGAAAUAGGACGAUCGAUCCUAUUUUGUUGGUUUCUAGGAUUGACGUA